UUAACCCUCCAAAUCACCAAAAAAUUCCAGAAACUGAUCAAAGCUCUCUGGACGAGAUUGUUUGCCAUCUUCACUUCGAUGUGUGUGGCUCAUCGAUUUCCAUGACCACCUAUUCAUAUGUCUUUAACCCCUGCCAUUUUGGAGUCAUCCCAUGUCAAAACUCUAAAACCUCCCCUUAUACCCAACACCUAUUGAUCCCUUUUUAUCUCUUUUGCUGCUGCCUCUUUUUCAAUGGCAUCCAUGUCUAGAUUUGUGCUCAAAGAUUGCAAGUUACAGACACGUGAAGCUGUCUACGGGCCAAGUUAUUGCUUCCAUGGCAGGAGGCUAAGACCUCGUCUGGAGCUUAGAUGUGGGAUCUUUACGCCCGAGAAUGGAACAAUUUGUGCAAUCCAAUGCAAACCAGUUGUUGCUGUUGCAGCUCCUUCCUGUUUCAUUCAAACUUCAAGGAACUCCCAAGUUUUGUGCAAGGCUGCCACAAAUGUGUCUGGAGAAGUUCCUGAUGGUAAACCUAGUGGGAUAACCCAGUACGAAAGGAUAAUUGAAACUCUUACCACUCUUUUCCCUGUGUGGGUAUGUCUUUUGUAUCCUUGGUACAUUUUUCUGAUAGAUUUCUGGAAUUUUUUUUGUAUUUUCACUAGAUUUAUAUUACAAAACUUGAUCUUGAAUUUAAAAUUUCAAUUUCCAGAGCAUUGUGUUUGCAUGUUAAAAGUUAAAUUUUAUGAACAGGUGAUAUUGGGCACCAUUGUUGGCAUCUACAAGCCAUCUGCGGUAAUUUUUAACUGUUGCUUCAAUGCUGUGAGAACAAGUUACUUUUGCUUAACUGACUGUUGGUGCCUUCUUACAGGUUACAUGGUUGGAGACAGACCUCUUCACUCUUGGCCUGGGUUUCCUCAUGCUUUCAAUGGGAUUGACUUUGACAUUUGAAGAUUUCAGGCGAUGUUUAAGAAACCCAUGGACUGUAAGAGAACUCAUUCAUAUCUAUAUUAGCAGGGAGUUCUGGUAAAAACAGUUAGUUAAAUUGAACAGCUUCUCUUUCUUUUUCCCUUCCUGAUUAAAUUAUGUGUUCAUUUGUUGCAGGUGGGUGUAGGAUUUCUGGCUCAGUACUUAAUCAAACCAUUGUUAGGCUUUGUUAUUGCAAUGGUAUACAUUCACCACAUUUUUAGUACAUGAUGUUUUUUCCAAAUUGUUCAGCUCCUUUUAUCUUUAUGCAUAUCUAUUUAAAAUUAUGCAAACAAGUUGAUCAACAAUAACAAUAAAACCAUUGACAUCCUCUAAAUGUAUUUGUUGAACAUCAGAAAAACUUCCUUCAUUAUAGACGCUUUUGGGGCCUUCAAAGCGAUUGAAAAUGGUCAAAUAAAUCCAUAUUGUUUACUUUUUUUUUUCUCUUUCCAAUGAUUUUAUUUGGGAUGGAAGUGAUAUUUUAAGGAAGUUUAACAUCCAAAUUCUUUCCAUAUGCCUUUUUUUCCAUUAGUAUUUCACUGAUCAUAACACAUGGAAUUUCAGUUUGUUAUUUCCUUUUUGACAUGUAGAGUUAUUAUUUUUCUCAAUUAUUAUCUUUUGCAAUGAAGCCUAGCUGAGGUUAUACUGAAAGUAUGCUUCAGAUUUAGUUUUAAGGUUGUAUAAGAUUGAGAUCUACAAGGAGCACAAAUCCCUUUUCUAUCACAAGUCAAUGAUAAACUAUGGUAUAGCAAGUACUACUCUGGUUUCAGGAUGCUCGUUCUUUGCAAAAUGGACACACACAACAUACCAAAUUGUGUUGUUCUGUAAACAACUUGUGGUCAUUCUAAUUUAUCACAAUGACAUUGGUUAAAAUUAUUAUUGCUAACAACUUUCUGUGUGAUUUUUAGGGUCUAAAAUUGUCAGCACCUCUUGCAACUGGUCUUAUUUUGGUCUCAUGUUGCCCCGGAGGACAGGCAUCAAAUGUUGCUACCUAUAUAUCUAAAGGAAAUGUAGCACUUUCAGUUCUUAUGACAACGUCAGUGCAAUUUAUGUUCAUGCAUUUCUGUUUGUUAGGUUAAUAAUCUCUGGCCAACUUUUGUUUUCUUUAUUGUUUGGCUGUUAAGUUGGUUUUCUUGCAAAUAAUAUUGAUCAAGAGUUAUGACACUCGUAUUAUAUUCACUGGAUGUUAUUUGACCAGAAAGUUGGUGGUUUUCUGUGUUGAGAAACAGAGGCCUAGGAGUGUGGAUCAUCAAACAAACUUACCUUCAUAUUGAACUGGGCUUGAAACUGAACUCCCGAUCAACUUGCCUGAGAUAUUUUGGUUUGGAUGACCUUGAACUUGUAUGCCCUUUAAUUUUCUU
rnacentral:misc_RNA from 1 species